rnacentral:RNase_P_RNA from 1 species
GAGGAAAGUCCGGACUUCACAGAGCAGGGUGAUUGCUAACGGCAAUCCGAGGUGACUCGCGGGACAGUGCCACAGAAAAGAGACCGCCACCCACGCCUGAUAUUUGGGCCGCGGUGGUAAGGGUGAAACGGUGCGGUAAGAGCGCACCAGCAUUCCGGGUGACCGGGAUGGCUUGGUAAACCCCACCCGAAGCAAGGCCAAGAGGCCGCACCUGGUGCGGCUGCGCAGGCGUUCGAGGGCUGCUCGCCCGAGCCUGUGGGUAGGCCGCUCGAGGCACCCGGCGACGGUGUGCCCAGAUGGAUGGUCGCCGCCGCUCUGCCACGGUCAGCCGGGGCGGGGCGGGACAGAAUCCGGCUUA